rnacentral:rRNA from 1 species
UACAGAGGUCUCAAGCGUUGUUCGGAUUCAUUGGGCGUAAAGGGUGCGUAGGCGGCGCGGUAAGUCGGAUGUGAAAUCUCGGGGCUUAACUCCGAAACUGCAUUCGAUACUGCCGUGCUUGAGGACUGGAGAGGAGACUGGAAUUUACGGUGUAGCGGUGAAAUGCGUAGAUAUCGUAAGGAAGACCAGUGGCGAAGGCGGGUCUCUGGACAGUUCCUGACGCUGAGGCGCGAAAGCCAGGGGAGCAAACGGG